UAAGGGCGCACGGUGGAUGCCUUGGCACUAGAAGCCGAUGAAGGACGUUACUAACGACGAUAUGCUUUGGGGAGCUGUAAGUAAGCUUUGAUCCAGAGAUUUCCGAAUGGGGAAACCCAGCAUGAGUUAUGUCAUGUUAUCGAUAUGUGAAUACAUAGCAUAUCAGAAGGCACACCCGGAGAACUGAAACAUCUUAGUACCCGGAGGAAGAGAAAGAAAAUUCGAUUCCCUUAGUAGCGGCGAGCGAAACGGGAAGAGCCCAAACCAACAAGCUUGCUUGUUGGGGUUGUAGGACACUCUAUACGGAGUUACAAAGGACGACAUUAGACGAAUCAUCUGGAAAGAUGAAUCAAAGAAGGUAAUAAUCCUGUAGUCGAAAAUGUUGUCUCUCUUGAGUGGAUCCUGAGUACGACGGAGCACGUGAAAUUCCGUCGGAAUCUGGGAGGACCAUCUCCUAAGGCUAAAUACUCUCUAGUGAC
rnacentral:rRNA from 1 species